GAUGAACGCUGGCGGCGUGCCUAAUACAUGCAAGUCGAGCGAACAGACGAGGAGCUUGCUCCUUUGACGUUAGCGGCGGACGGGUGAGUAACACGUGGGUAACCUACCUAUAAGACUGGGAUAACUUCGGGAAUCCGGAGCUAAUACCGGAUAAUAUUUCGAACCGCAUGGUUCGAUAGUGAAAGAUGGCUUUGCUAUCACUUAUAGAUGGACCUGCGCCGUAUUAGCUAGUUGGUAAGGUAACGGCUUACCAAGGCAACGAUACGUAGCCGACCUGAGAGGGUGAUCGGCCACACUGGAACUGAGACACGGUCCAGACUCCUACGGGAGGCAGCAGUAGGGAAUCUUCCGCAAUGGGCGAAAGCCUGACGGAGCAACGCCGCGUGAGUGAUGAAGGUCUUCGGAUCGUAAAACUCUGUUAUUAGGGAAGAACAAACGUGUAAGUAACUGUGCACGUCUUGACGGUACCUAAUCAGAAAGCCACGGCUAACUACGUG
rnacentral:rRNA from 1 species